UUUUUUUUUUUUUUUUUUUGGUGCUCUCUAUAUUUGCAGAGUUUGAUUUGCACUCCCAUUGGGCUUGAGAUUAUGGAAGAUUUGUCAGGAAGAAGAAUGGAGGUUUUAUAUUUUGGCAAGAAAAGUUGAGCUUUGAUUAAUUCCUAACCCAUGACACCACCGAAACGGCUUAGCACUAUUGAUUGUGAGAUUGGCUUGCGAGCGUAGGUUAGGCGGGCGACGAUUUGAACUCGAACGAUGACUUCUUGGGAUUAUUAAGUCGACAGGCCAUUGAUAUUAAUCCGCGACAACUUCCCAACCAUGAGCUUCAAACAAUCAGGAAAUUUUCUAGCCCCUUCCAUUUCCAUACCAUCCUAAUAGCAGUCAGGGAAGGGAAACUGCCACUCAACAAACACAUAUUGUCAAGCCUGAAAAGAAAUCAUACAUUUCAAUGUAUGAAAGAUACUUUUGGAUUUGUAUCCUAAUUUCGGCAAAAUAUUCUGAAAAUCAAUAACCAAAAAGAGGGGAAAUGAGUAGCCGACUGGGAUGGCUAAAUAUUAUGUGACUCAUAAUCUACAUAUCCAAAAGCAGAAAAAACACGUUGGCGAUACAAAUGACUAUUUCAGUUCAAAGUAUAAAGCUUGAGCUGAAAAUCAUUAAUCUACUGCUACGUAAACUAAUUCCCACCAAAUUUCACAUAACAUAAUACAUGCCAGUUGUAAGAACACUAAGGGAACUUCUCAGUCCAGCAUUCCUUGAAUUGUCAAAUAA
rnacentral:lncRNA from 1 species